rnacentral:misc_RNA from 1 species
UCAUCUUCGACAUGGAUGGCCUCCUCCUCGACACGGAGGGAUUCUAUACGCAGGUCCAGGAGAAGAUCCUGGAGAGGUUCGGGAAGACCUUUGACUGGUCCCUCAAAGCCAAGAUGAUGGGCAAGAAGGCGAUUGAGUCGGCGCACAUCUUUGUCGAGGAGAUGGGCCUGACGGAUGUUCUUACCCCAGAGGAGUUCCUCGUGGAGAGGGAGGAUAUGCUGCAGGAGCUCUUUCCUAGCUGUGUCAUAAUGCCCGGUGUCGAACGUUUUAUCAGUCAUCUUCACGCAAAUGGGAUACCCAUGUGUGUGGCAACAGGAUCUCACCAGCGACAUUUUGCUUUGAAGACUCAAAAACAUGGUGAUAUUUUCUCUAUGAUGCAUCAUGUAGUCAAGGGUGACGAUCCUGAAGUAAAGAAAGGCAAACCUUCUCCUGAUGUAUUUCUGGCUGCCGCAAAAAGAUUUG